AUUUUGUGAUAAUUUCAUCAUUAUUAUUCUUGCGAUCAGGACCCAAAAAUAGAAAUUCGUACCCGUUUCCUCAAUCUUCAACUCCUCUGCAAAAUCAAGCCCUAACCCUAAUUCUAGGCUUUCCAUUCAAUUAAACCCUCAAUGGCUAGUGAUUCCACUGACCUCUCUCGUCGCAAGCACCGUCGCUCCUCUCCUUCCGAUGACGAAGCUAAGGAGGCAUCAAAACGCCGUAAGCACCGUCACCAUCACCAUCACCAUCACCGCCACCAUCGCCGCAGCAAGAAGCACGAAGAGAGUGAUUCCAAGUCCGAAAAUGAGAUUGCCGAGGCUGGGGCUGAAAUUGAGAACGAAAAGAAGGCACUUGGCAGCGGUGCUAUGGGUGUGGUCGUGGGCAGUUCGAAUUUGGGGAUUGAUUACGAUAUGGAGGAAGGGGAGAUUGUUGACGAUAUUUUACCUUCUGCUGCUGCUGCUCAUGACGACGACGACGUGGAUGGUACUGCUAGGACCAAGGAAUUGGAUUUAGAUAGGGAGACAGAAGAUAAACUACUUCAAAACCAUCAUAUUGUCAAUCUCAGUAAUCCAGACAUGAAACUUCAUGGAGCUCAAGUAGAUGGCCCUAAUCCCAGUCUGCCUUCUGAAAGCAAUUUGGAAAAAUCUGACAGGAAUUCAAUAAGUUCAGGAGGGUACAAUGCAAAGAGGAAAGAUAGAGAACAUGAGGAUGAUAAGAUUCACAAGCAUGUAGGUCGGGAAAGAAUGUCUAGUGAGGGAUAUCAUACCAAUGGCAAUUCUGUUGGAGAAUAUCAUAAAGGGGACCAUAGACAACAUGAUGGAAAGCGCUCUCCUGAUAAAGAAGAUAGAAAGCAAAAGAGCUACCGUGGUGAUGAAAAUGAUUUCAAUCAGAAAAAUUCUUUGACAACUGAGGAUGCUGGGAAGAGACACAAGGCUGGUGAUGGAGCCUCUCCUCAUGAUGGAUACUAUCAAAAAGGUCGUUCUCGGAAGGAAUCAAAAUCUCCCAAUCUGUCUGGGCCAUCUGAGUUAGAUGAUAAGUAUUAUAAGGAUUGGAAAUACAAAAAUGAUUCCGAUAAUGAGAGAAUGACUAGACGUAGUAGAGACUAUUGGCAUGGGAGCCGAGAUUUUUCAAGGGAAAAAGGAGAGCGCAGUCCCAGUCAUGGUAGAUAUGUUAGUCGAGAGGAAAGGCAUCAUAGCCGGGAGACUAUUGAAAGAUAUAGGGAGGCAAGCUUAGAAAUUAACAGGGAUAGAGUCAGAGAUAAAGAUAACGAAAGAGCUAGAGAAAAUUACAGGGUAAGGGAGAGGGAGAGGGAGAGGGGGAGGGAGAGCAAAAGAGAAAAAACCCAGGAUAGAGAGAAGGAGAAGGAUAGGGAUAGACAUAGGGAUAUUGAUAGUGAUCGGGAGAGGGGGAGAGAAAGGAGAGAUAAGGAUAGGGAGAACAGAAGAGGUAGAAGUGGAGACAGAGAAAGAGAUAGGGAUAGGGAUAGUGAUAGAUCCAGCAGGCGUUGUGGAUAUGAUGACUUUGGUAGUAGCUAUGGUGAUCGAGAUAGGUACAGUGCUUCCAGGCAUAUUAGAGAUGAUGAGACUCGCCACAGUCACAGAGAGACGUCAAACAAUGUAGAAGAAAGUAAUUCUGACAAAAAACUAGUAGAAAUGGGAAAUGAGAAAUUUAGAAGAGAUGAUGAUGAACAGGAAGAGUAUCAGGAAAAAAUCACGAUGCAACUUGCUGAACAAGAAGAAGAUAUAGAGAGUAUAAAGGAGGAGAGUAGAAGGCGAAGGCAAGCUAUACUUGAAAAAUACAAGAAUCAGCAGCAACAGAUGCAACCUAAAAUCCACUCAGAAGAAAGUGAUAAGGGUCUAGUAAAGCAGUCUGCUCAGCCAGUUCAAGGUGUUAAUCUUGCAUCAGAAGUUGAUGCUAGAACUGAUGAUGCAGACACUGAUGUUGGUGACCAAGAGUUUUCUGUUGGAAAAUCUCCUCACCAGGAUAACCUUUCUGUGAAUGAGCAGACUUCUGGAGUUGGUGGACUGGGACAGGGUAGUCCAAAGAGUGAGAGGUCAAAUGACAUGUUCUGUGAUGAUAUAUUUGGAGAAUCACCUGCAGGAGUUCGCAAACAAGGUAAAGGAGAUGGUUUAGCUAUUGAAAGAAGUGGUCUUAAUGAUAACUGGGAUGAUGCAGAGGGGUAUUAUAGCUACCGUUUGGGAGAAGUGCUUGAUGGCCGAUAUGAGAUCAUUGCAGCCCAUGGAAAAGGAGUGUUCUCAAUGGUUGUCCGUGCUAAAGAUCUAAAGGCUAAACCUGGCGAUCCUCAAGAGGUAGCAAUAAAAAUGAUCCGUAAUAAUGAAACAAUGUACAAGGCUGGUAUGGAAGAGUUGGUGAUAUUGAAGAAGUUAGUCGGUACAGAUCCUGAGGAUAGGCGUCACUGUGUCCGCUUUCUUUCUAGCUUCAAGUACCGGAAUCAUCUUUGCUUAGUGUUUGAAUCUCUUCAUAUGAAUCUUCGUGAGGUUUUGAAGAAGUUUGGCCGGAAUAUUGGACUAAAACUUACUGCUGUGAGGGCAUAUGCGAAGCAGCUAUUCAUUGCGUUGAAACAUUUAAAAAACUGUGGUGUUCUUCAUUGUGAUAUUAAACCAGAUAACAUGCUGGUGAAUGAAGCAAAAAAUGUUCUGAAGCUUUGUGAUUUUGGUAAUGCCAUGUUUGUGGGAAAAAAUGAGAUUACUCCAUACCUAGUGAGCCGUUUUUACCGUUCCCCUGAGAUUAUUUUGGGCUUGACCUAUGACCAUCCAAUGGAUAUGUGGUCAGUUGGUUGCUGCUUGUAUGAGCUUUAUACUGGAAAAGUUUUGUUUCCUGGUCCAACAAACAAUGACAUGCUUCGUCUUCAUAUGGAAUUAAAGGGUCCAUUUCCAAAGAAAAUGCUUAGAAAGGGAGCAUUUACAGACCGACACUUUGAUCAAGAUCUUAAUUUUCUUGCAACAGAAGAGGACCCUGUCACAAAAAAGGCUGUAAGAAAGCUGAUUACUAAUAUCAAGCCAAAAGAUAUUGGUACAAUUGUUUUGGGCUCUCCUGGUGAGGAUCCAAAAAUGUUCACAAAUUUUAAAGAUCUUCUUGAGAGAAUAUUCAUGCUAGAUCCAGAUAAGAGACUCACAGUUUCACAAGCAUUGAGCCAUCCUUUCAUUACGGGCAAGUGAUCAAUGAUGAUGAUUUUGACUGCAGACAUGCUGUUGCCCUAGAUUCCUGUAGAAUUAUGAUAACUAAAUUUACAUUCAGUCUAACCAUUGGGCAUUUAUCUGUUUUAUAUACUCUGCUGGCUUAAACGCUGUGGUCAGAGUGAUUGUCGUGAUUGAAGGGGGGAAGAGAAGACAGCUGACUGGGAGAGGCCUCUUUCUUGGCUGUUCUUUCAGUGGACUAUUUUCUGUUUCUAUUGAUAUCUACCAGGAUUAUGGGACAAGCAUUCAGUUGUUUAGUUGCUUGAAAGGCACCCUGGAGAAGGUACCUUGGUUUGUUUGUUAGGAGCUUAUUGUGACAACAGCAUUUGCAGUUAUUAUGCUUUUUGUGUCCUAUUAAUGCCAACUUUGCUUAUUUGCUGAUAUUCGUCCUGUUGGUGAUUGUAGACUUAUUCUGCAUUAGAAUUUGGGCCCACAAUUUGUGGAUGGUUUGAAUCUUGAUUGUAUAUAGUAUAUACAUAUGCAUAAUUUGACUGUCAAGAGUUGGGAAGGUGUAGUAGAUGAUGGUCACCAGGCAUUUCCUCUCUAUGCAAUUUUUUUGGUAUGCAUGGGACAUUUUUUAUUAAAGUCCUGAAUGUAUUGUGAUGCCUCCCAAACUGGGGUAACUGAUUCAGUGACCUUUACUUCAAUGCAUUGUUUUUGCUUCUGUCAAGUUUUCACAUAAAUUCAGUUUGCUAAUCAUAUUGUAUUGCGUGAUUUGCGUCUGAUCCAUGGUGUGGUCACAUGCUGGAGCAAUGAAUGUCUGGAGAUGUUAAGACGCCUUGAACUGAGAAAGGGUUCAAGAGAGGGGUAAGGGGUUGCCUUCAUGGUUCUGCAACUAUAGUAAGUACUCUUGUUUACAUUUGGUUUAUAUUAUUUUUGAUGACUAAAUGGGUAUCUAGGUGUGCUGCAUUACUUUCAGUUAUGUUGUUCUUGUUGGUCAAUAUCAAUCAGGAAUUAGAUGAGUAUCCUAAUAUAUUUUGUUGUACUAGAUUCAAAGGAAGUUUAUUGUCCAUGUGUCUAAAGUAUUGGUGGCUGACUUGUUUCUUGGUCAUUCAACCAAAUUUUGGUAAUAAUGCAGCAGCUCAUGUAGUCUGCUUCUUGAUGAUCCAGUGUAUGGAACAGUUAUCCUUGACUUUGUAUUUUGGAUGCUCUUUGGUUCUGGCAGAAAAGAAAAGAAACGAAAACAUAAAACUUGAAAUAUGAGUGUGUAUGACAGGAUUAGUUUGUCAGCAUUUAUGUUUCCAUUCAUUGGAUGGGCAAUCCACCAUGAGUUGUCAUA